rnacentral:rRNA from 1 species
AGUAAUACAUCGGAACGUGUCUUCUAGUGGGGGAUAACUGCCCGAAAGGGCAGCUAGUACCGCAUGAGACCUGAGGGUGAAAGCGGGGGAUCGCAAGACCUCGCGCUGGAAGAGCGGCCGAUGUCCGAUUAGCUAGUUGGUGAGGUAAAGGCUCACCAAGGCGACGAUCGGUAGCUGGUCUGAGAGGACGACCAGCCACACUGGGACUGAGACACGGCCCAG